rnacentral:rRNA from 1 species
ACGCUCGACACCUACGGGAGGCAGCAGUGAGGAAUAUUGGUCAAUGGGCGCAGGCCUGAACCAGCCAAGUAGCGUGAAGGAUGACUGCCCUAUGGGUUGUAAACUUCUUUUAUAUGGGAAUAAAGUUUUCCACGUGUGGAAUUUUGUAUGUACCAUAUGAAUAAGGAUCGGCUAACUCCGUGCCAGAAGCCGAGGUAAUCUGAGCGGGCUGGCAAGGC